CUUGGAUAUGGAGAUAUGUACCCGGAAACAUGGUCGGGAAUGCUAGUGGGUGCCCUAUGUGCCUUGGCUGGUGUGCUAACCAUUGCUAUGCCUGUGCCUGUUAUUGUCAACAAC
rfam:Poecilia formosa, whole genome shotgun sequence.